rnacentral:rRNA from 1 species
CCCUUAGAUGUUCUGGGCUGCACGCGUGCUACAGUGGCGUUUCCAGCAAGUCUGCGAACCCGAGAGGGCCAGCGGAUCUUCGAAUUGGCGUCGUGAUCGGGACAGUCGAUUGCAAUUAUUUGACUCAAACGAGGAAUUCCUUGUAAUCGCGAUUCAUCAUAUCGCGCUGAAUACGUCCCUGCCCUUUGUACACACCGCCCGUCGCUCCUACCGAUUGAGCGAUCCGGUAAAUGUUUUGGAUUGGUGCCGGGGCGGCUAGCUGCCGGUCGCUACGAAAUUUUGUGAACCUUAUCGCUUAGAGGAAGGAAAAGUCGUAACA